rnacentral:rRNA from 1 species
ACGGAAGGCAGCAGUGGGGAAUAUUGGGCAAUGGGGGAAACCCUGACCCAGCAACGCCGCGUGGAGGAAGAAGGUUUUCGGAUCGUAAACUCCUGUCCUAAGGGAAGAGUAGAAGACUGUACCUUAGGAGGAAGCCCCGGCUAACUACGUGCCAGCAGCCGCGGUAAUACGUAGGGGGCAAGCGUUGUCCGGAAUGAUUGGGCGUAAAGGGCGCGUAGGCGGCCCGGUAAGUCUGAAGUGAAAGUCCUGCUUUUAAGGUGGGAAUUGCUUUGGAUACUGUCGGGCUUGAGUGCAGGAGAGGUUAUUGGAAUUCCUAGUGUAGCGGUGAAAUGCGUAGAUAUUAGGAGGAACACCAGUGGCGAAGGCGGCUUACUGGACUGUAACUGACGUUGAGGCUCGAAAGCGUGGGGAGCAAACAGGAUUAGAUACCCUGGUA